GAAUUAUUUUCAGGCAAUAUCUCAUCCGAUGCGAGACUCAUCAAAAAUUGAAGCUCUUGUGAAAGAGGGUAAAGACCUGAUACCAAAACUAGAAGAAAUCACAGAGAGUUCCAAAGACAGCCAAGGCUUUCUCUCUUAGAUAUCUGCUUGAAAAAGAAAGUUUUAUUGGCUGCAAAAGAAGCUAGAUUGCUAUGCACAAAAGAAGCUCAUCCGCCUACAGCCGAAAUACUUCCUCUUCCUAUCUUAAGAGACCAAGAUGAAGUUACAAGAAGAAAUUGACGAGUUCUCAGACUCUUACUACUUGGAUCUCAAUCUUGAAGACAUCAAACAGGUAUAUUACAUUAACUAUGUACAUAUUUGUGAUCUUGUGGAUCCUUGCCAGCUUAAUUCCCAAUAGGAGAUGUUUCUAGAUAGGUAUCAUGUGCAUUA